UUUGUGGGGUGCUCGAGUGGCGAACGGGUGAGUAACACGUGAGUAACCUGCCCUUGACUUUGGGAUAACUUCAGGAAACUGGGGCUAAUACCGGAUAGGAGCUCCUGCUGCAUGGUGGGGGUUGGAAAGUUUCGGCGGUUGGGGAUGGACUCGCGGCUUAUCAGCUUGUUGGUGGGGUAGUGGCUUACCAAGGCUUUGACGGGUAGCCGGCCUGAGAGGGUGACCGGCCACAUUGGGACUGAGAUACGGCCCAGACUCCUACGGGAGGCAGCAGUGGGGAAUAUUGCACAAUGGGCGGAAGCCUGAUGCAGCAACGCCGCGUGCGGGAUGACGGCCUUCGGGUUGUAAACCGCUUUCGCCUGUGACGAAGCGUGAGUGACGGUAAUGGGUAAAGAAGCACCGGCUAACUACGUGCCAGCAGCCGCGGUGAUACGUAGGGUGCGAGCGUUGUCCGGAUUUAUUGGGCGUAAAGGGCUCGUAGGUGGUUGAUCGCGUCGGAAGUGUAAUCUUGGGGCUUAACCCUGAGCGUGCUUUCGAUACGGGUUGACUUGAGGAAGGUAGGGGAGAAUGGAAUUCCUGGUGGAGCGGUGGAAUGCGCAGAUAUCAGGAGGAACACCAGUGGCGAAGGCGGUUCUCUGGGCCUUUCCUGACGCUGAGGAGCGAAAGCGUGGGGAGCGAACAGGCUUAGAUACCCUGGUAGUCCACGCUGUAAACGGUGGGUACUAGGUGUGGGGUCCAUUCCACGGGUUCCGUGCCGUAGCUAACGCUUUAAGUACCCCGCCUGGGGAGUACGGCCGCAA
rnacentral:rRNA from 1 species